rnacentral:rRNA from 1 species
CAAUAGCGUAUAUUAAAGUUGUUGCGGUUAAAAAGCUCGUAGUUGGAUUUCUGCCGAGGACGACCGGUCCGCCCUCCGGGUGAGUAUCUGGCUCGGCCUGGGCAUCUUCUUGGAGAACGUAACUGCACUUGGCUGUGUGGUGCGGUAUUCAGGACUUUUACUUUGAGGAAAUUAGAGUGUUUCAAGCAGGCACACGCCUUGAAUACAUUAGCAUGGAAUAAUAAGAUAGGACCUCGGUUCUAUUUUGUUGGUUUCUAGAUCUGAGGUAAUGAUUAAUAGGGAUAGUUGGGGGCAUUCGUAUUUAACUGCCAGAGGUGAAAUUCUUGGAUUUGUUAAAGACGGACUACUGCGAAAGCAUUUGCCAAGGAUGUUUUCAUUGA